CAAUCAUGUUUAAGUUAACAUCAAGGACAGCCUUAGAAGAAAAAUGUGGGCAAUAAUUGACUUUAAAGAAAAGAAGCUGAAGAUCAAGACUUGGAAAGAGUAGCACGUUUCUUAGUGAAGAAACAGCCAAGAAAAUUACUGCUCUCCUAGCUCAAUGAGAAGCAUUAAUUAAAGGU
rnacentral:lncRNA from 1 species